rnacentral:misc_RNA from 1 species
GAUGAAGAACGUAGCGAAAUGCGAUACGUAAUGUGAAUUGCAGAAUUCAGUGAAUCAUCGAAUCUUUGAACGCACAUUGCGCCUGCCAGCACUCUGGCAGGCAUGCCUGUUCGAGCGUCAUUUCAACCAUCAAGCCCAAGGCUUGCGUUGGAGCCCUGCGGCUGCCGCAGGCCCCUAAAAGCAGUGGCGGGCUCGCUAUCACACCGAGUGCAGUAGAUUACUCUUCGCUCAGGGCGUGUGGCGGGUUCCAGCCGUGAAACCCCCUACUUCUCAAGGUUGACCUCGGAUCAGGUAGGAAUACCCGCUGAACUUAAGCAUAUCAAUAAGCGGAGGA